UCUCUGGUGGUCCAGUGGUUAGGACUCAGCACUUUCACUGCUGUGCACCUGGGGUUCAAUCCCUGGCCGGGGAA
rfam:TPA: Bos taurus chromosome 3, whole genome shotgun sequence.